CGUAGGGUGCGAGCGUUAAUCGGAAUUACUGGGCGUAAAGCGUGCGCAGGCGGUUUAGUAAGACAGGCGUGAAAUCCCCGGGCUCAACCUGGGAACUGCGCUUGUGACUGCUAAGCUAGAGUACGGCAGAGGGGGGUGGAAUUCCACGUGUAGCAGUGAAAUGCGUAGAGAUGUGGAGGAACACCAAUGGCGAAGGCAGCCCCCUGGGUCGAUACUGACGCUCAUGCACGAAAGCGUGGGUAGCAAACAGGAUUAGAUACCCUGGUAGUCCACGCCCUAAACGAUGUCAACUAGGUGUUGGGAGGGUAAAACCUUUUAGUACCGGAGCUAACGCGUGAAGUUGACCGCCUGGGGAGUACGGCCGCGAGGUUA
rnacentral:rRNA from 1 species